UAGGGAAUAUUGGACAAUGGGUGAGAGCCUGAUCCAGCCAUGCCGCGUGCAGGAAGAAGGCGUUAUGCGUUGUAAACUGCUUUUUGCCAGGGGAUAAAAUGAGCAUGCGUGCUUAAUUGAAGGUACCUGGUGAAUAAGCCACGGCUAACUACGUGCCAGCAGCCGCGGUAAUACGUAGGUGGCAAGCGUUGUCCGGAUUUAUUGGGUUUAAAGGGUGCGUAGGUGGCCCUGUAAGUCAGUGGUGAAAUAUCUCAGCUUAACUGAGAGGGUGCCAUUGAUACUGCAGGGCUUGAGUACAGAUGAGGUAGGCGGAAUUGACGGUGUAGCGGUGAAAUGCAUAGAUAUCGUCAAGAACACCGAUAGCGAAGGCAGCUUACCAAGCUGUAACUGACACUGAGGCACGAAAGUGUGGGGAUCAAACAGGAUUAGAUACCCAAGUAGUCCCUGAGCGGGCUGGCAAGGCGCAU
rnacentral:rRNA from 1 species